ACACCCUCUUUUCUUUUUCCCAACCAAACACAUCCUUCUUCCACCUCAUAUCCCUUUAUUUUCUUUCAUCCAAUCCAAUUUAUUUUAGUAGGAGAUUAACAAUGAGUACCUGUGAAGUUAAUGUUGAUGUCUAGAGGGUAAUUCAAACUUGCUGAACUUCAAGCAAUGAAAUGUCUUGGGAGCCAUCCAUCAGAGGUGCUUUUAAUGCUCUGUGCAAAAACUACACUAACCAUUAAAAGAAAAGAGACUAUGUUUGUUUAUGAAUUCCGAGGGGUUAGUGAGAAUAACAUGUCACCUAAACAUGAUGGGCUCUGGAAAUUUUUGAAGGUCUUGCAGUUCCCUGGAAUCUUCUAACUAGGCAACUGCUUUUCAGCCUCUGUGUCAUUUGGAUAGCAGAGCAACAUACUGAUCUCAACAAAAUGAAACAGUCAAAAACAACUCCCUCAAUCCAAGUUCCAGUUCACAAACAUUUCCUUUUUGUAUGAUAGAUUUCCAAUCUGUCAUUUAUACCUCCUUUUCCUGUUAGAAUCAGACUGGGCAGGACAACCUUAGAUCAUCUCACAGCAGUUGUUCACUGUUGGACUUGGUUGACUUUUUUCUAUUUUAUCGUAAUGUGCUUCUCACAUUGUUUUACCAGUUAGUGACACAAAGUGAAAAAUUAACAAUAAUAUGUAAAAUUUCCCUUUAUCUUCAUGGAAGAAUAAACAAGAAGACUGUGAAAUGAGAUGUUUAGUUGACUCAAUUGCUAGGGAAACAUAACAUCAUCUGAAGAGAGUUUUAAAUUUCAUAAUUCCUAUUCUUGUAUCCAUUUUCCCUACUCUCCUCACCAGGCUCUAAUAACCCAUCAGCAUAUAUUGGUUACAGCAUGGGAAUGUAUAUUUUGCUAAAUUCUCCUAAGGUGAUUCCAAUAGUCCUCUCCUUAAAUCCUGAAGUUUGACCAUAAGAGUUUUUACAUUUUUAUUUUUAAUUAAUUAAAUUUUUGCUGUAUUUUAUUUUAUUGUGAUAAGAACACUUAACAUGAGCUUUACCGUCUUCACAGAUUUUUAAGUGUAGAAGAAAGCAUCGUUAACUAUGGGCACUAUGUGGUAUAGCAGAUCUCUAGAAUUUAUUCAUCUUGCAUAACUGAAACUUUAUGUCUAUUUUGAUGUUUGAUUAGCAACUCUCUGUUUCCCCCUUCCCUAGCCCUUGGCAAUGACCAUUCUACUCUUUGCUUCUAUAAGCUUCACUAUUUUAGAUACCUCUGAUAUAUUUAUGAAGGAUCAUGCAGUAUUUGUCCUUCUAUGACUGGCUUAUCUCACGUAGCAUGAUGUCCUCAAAAUACAUCCAUGUUGUUGCAUAUUGCAAGAUUUCCUUCUUCCUUAAUGCUGAAUAAUAUUCCAUUGUAUGCAUAUGCCACAUUUUCUCUAUUUUCAUCUGUUAAUGUGCGUUUAGGUUGUUUCCAUGUCUUGGCUAUUAUAAAUAGCAAUGAACAUGGGAGUGCAAAUAUCUCCUUGAGAUCUUGAUUUCAAUUCUU
rnacentral:lncRNA from 1 species